rnacentral:tRNA from 1 species
GGGCCCUUAGCUUAAUUGGUAAAGUGCCUAGUUGUCACUUAGGAUGAUCCCAGUUCGAAUCUGGAAGGGCUCG